UCCUACGGGACGCAGCAGUGAGGAAUAUUGGUCAAUGGGAGAGAUCCUGAACCAGCCAAGCCGCGUGAGGGAAGACGGCCCUAUGGGUUGUAAACCUCUUUUGUCGGAGAACAAAACCCGGGACGUGUCCCGGACUGCGUGUAUCCGAAGAAAAAGCAUCGGCUAACUCCGUGCCAGCAGCCGCGGUAAUACGGAGGAUGCGAGCGUUAUCCGGAUUUAUUGGGGUUAAAGGGUGCGUAGGCGGUCCGUUAAGUCAGCGGUAAAAUUGCGGGGCUCAACCCCGUGCAGCCGUUGAAACUGGCAGG
rnacentral:rRNA from 1 species